rnacentral:rRNA from 1 species
AUGAGGUUGUUCAAUGGUAAACAACAUGCUAUGGAUUCUAUUUAUGAUAACUGGCAGGAAAGUUUUCAAUUGUUGUAUUCAUUCAAAGGUGAAGUGGAGAGGACCAGCCCAGGUAGUAUUAUAGAUAUUGACCACCACACCGUGGAGUACACAUUCAGGGGAGUGACAAAGACCAAGGAAUGCUUUAGGAGGGUUUUUGUCUGCUUUGAGGCUUGUCGCCAGGGUUUUCUGGCAGGCUGCAGGCCUUAUUUGGCUAUUGAUGCCACUUUUCUCACAGGGAGGUUUAAAGGACAGUUAGUAGCAGCUUGUGCAGUUGAUGCACACAGUUUUGUAUUUCCAGUUGCCUACGGUGUGCUGGAGACAGAGUUUGAGGAGAGCUGA